AUUGAACGCUGGCGGCAGGCCUAACACAUGCAAGUCGAACGGUAACAGGAAACAGCUUGCUGUUUCGCUGACGAGUGGCGGACGGGUGAGUAAUGUCUGGGAAACUGCCUGAUGGAGGGGGAUAACUACUGGGAACGGUAGCUAAUACCGCAUAACGUCGCAAGACCAAAGAGGGGGACCUUCGGGCCUCUUGCCAUCGGAUGUGCCCAGAUGGGAUUAGCUAGUAGGUGGGGUAACGGCUCACCUAGGCGACGAUCCCUAGCUGGUCUGAGGGGAUGACCAGCCACACUGGAACUGAGACACGGUCCAGACUCCUACGGGAGGCAGCAGUGGGGAAUAUUGCACAAUGGGCGCAAGCCUGAUGCAGCCAUGUCGCGUGUAUGAAGAAGGCCUUCGGGUUGUAAAGUACUUUCAGCGGGGAGGAAGGGAGUAAAGUUAAUACCUUUACUCAUUGACGUUACCCGCAGAAGAAGCACCGGCUAACUCCGUGCCAGCCGCCGCAGUAA
rnacentral:rRNA from 1 species